UCUCAAAGCCUUCACAUUUUCCAUUGCUAAGCCCAUGAAACCAAAAACCACCCAUUCCAAUGCAUGUAGACAUCAAAUUUCCUUCAAAUCUAUAUCAUUGUUCUUCAAAAUGAUUUCAAUAGACCAAUUUUUAUUACAUCGUUUCUCUUUUGAAAUUUCAAUCCAUUAUUGAGUGUGGACCUAAUAAAAAAGUUUGGGCAUGGUACCUAAUUAUUAGACUCAUUUCAUUUAUUAGGUCUAUUAGGCCUUUUGUUGUUAUUUUCUAAUUCUAAUUAAUAUGUUUUUUUUUCUUAAAUAAAAUUGCGGUGGAUUGGUGGAGCACGUUUAAACUUGGUAGGAGGAAUUCAAUGUUUGGCAAGGAGUUGCAAGAAUGGCACAAAUUGGAGAAGAAGAAAAGUGAGCAAAGGAAAGGCAAGACAUAGACGACAUAAUGAAGGAGAGCAAAAAAUGACCCCCAAAAAAAUUGAAUGCCUUUACACGACAAAAGUUUUUUAGAAAGGGAGAAGAAGCCAAUAAAGUGGGGAGGUCUUGAGGCAAUAGAAUGCGGAGAAAGAAUCUAGAGAGAUAUUGAGAGAGUCAUCAUUGGAUAUGUUAAGAAAGCCAGGAGAAAGUAAAGAUGCUGCAUGAAAAAAUUGAAAUGUCCUCAAAUUAGCUAUACUUGAGGUUAAAUUAUGGGAAUGCAUUAAGAGAAAAAUGAAGAAAAGUGAAGGCUGGAGUUGCAUUAUUUGAAAGCCGUCAUACAAAAGAUGGGUUUUCAUGUAAAGAAUGAAUAUAGUAGAUAUUUGAUUUAGGUAAGGAAUGAAUAUAGACUCGAAUAUUUGUAGAUUUUUUAUUUAAAUAUAGUGAGUUUUGAUUUUUUUUUAAAUUGUUAUCUGUAACAAAUUCAGAGUGUAUGCAGAUAAUAAUUUGUUGAUAUAAUACAUUUGA
rnacentral:lncRNA from 1 species